AAACAACAUCUUUGGAAGCAAAAAAUGCAGGAAGAGUUGCUUGUCCUUGGUCUUCAAAUAAAUACAGCAAAAAUCAAAGCAAACAACUGUGGAGCUAAAUUCUGUGAUGCCAGCUUCAGAAAAAUCCCUUAGUGCCCUAGAAACACUGGACAAAAUUCACAGUGCAGAACUCAGGAUACGGAAGAUGCUUUGGAUUCUGGCCUAAAGCCACUCUUAGCCAUAGGGAAAUUUAAAGCCAGGGAAGUAAAGGAGGAGUUCAUCAGGACCACGGAUUCUGAAAUUGAGGACAGCCGCAACUCAGCUGCUGCACAAAGAGUUGAUUCAGCAUUAAUACAGCUGCGUGAACAAAACCGUCUGGGAGAUGAGAGGAGCAACUGGCUGGAUGAAAGCGUGCAUGAAUGUAGUGGCUCAGCCACUGACCGACAAUACAUUUCUCUGGUAAGAGCAGGGCUAGCAGGCUCCUCCCCCUUUCUUUGCUAGUAACGUUAGUAUUUCUGGUAACAUUAAUGGGCAAACUGUGGGUUGUGGGGGUUGGUUUUGGUUUUGUUUUGGUUGUUGUUCCUUCCCUUGCCCCUCCCCCCCCCCAGCAAAGUAAUGGCCUGACUUCUGGUGUGUCUCUUUAAUGUAAGAGACUGUGACUUCUGAGGAAGAGGUAUGUUGUCAUGAGGUGACUCGGAUUUGGUAAUUCCAUCUUUUCUGCAGAAAGGUUUACCCAGAAGUGUUACAAACGCUCCUGCCUGGAACACCAGGCCGAGAUGCCUGACCGGAGCAGGAGCCUGCAGAGGCUCCUGGUGUAACUGGCCACUGGGACCAUCGCUGCUUGCUCAGCAGUUGGAAUGAUUUCUGUAACCCUUCUAUUCUGCAGGACAUCGCUUAUUCCCGUGAUAAGGUAUGACAUAUUCGUCUCUCAGUACUCCAUAAUAGUAUCACUUACGUUUCUAUAUUGCAUUUGUUGAAUAUUUUCAGACCUGUAAGUGACUAAAAUUGACAUUUUUUUUUUAAGCUAUCAAAAAAUC
rnacentral:lncRNA from 1 species